CCGCUGUGAAAAUGCAGACCCGCGGGGCAGUAAUUCCGAGUCCAGCCUGGGGCGCGAUCUGGAAUCUUGACUCGCUUGAAACACCACGACGGAUUCGGAGACAGGAAGCGAGGUAACUGACGGACGGCCAAGGCAGCCCCUUGGGUGGCUUAGGCCUGCCCUGUGGAGCAUCCCUGCGGUGGACUCUGGCCAGCCUGAGUGACGCGAUCCAAAGAGCGCUCCCGGGUAGGAAAUUCCCCGGGUGGAACGCCUCGCCAGAGCAGCACGUAGCAGGCCCCCGAGGAGGAUUAACACACUGGCUGAACACUGGGAAGGAACUGGCACUUGGAGUCCGGACAUCUGAAACUUGGUAAGACUAGUCUUUGGAACUUGCCCCACUCCAUCUGAGUGGAAGCAUGGCCUGAUCACCCAUGGUGUGCCUGUACUGGCACUUUUAUUCUGGUUUUGACUUGACUUAGAUUGUGUGAUACUUUGGUUUUGGUUUUGGUUUUGACCUGGCUUGGGUUU
rnacentral:lncRNA from 10 species